rnacentral:tRNA from 1 species
UGAUAAAAAGAGGAGUCAAACCCCUGUAUGUGAGUCUACAGCCCACCGCCUAAACACUCAGCCAUUUUACC